rnacentral:rRNA from 1 species
GUGCCAGCAGCCGCGGUAAUACGGAGGGGGCUAGCGUUGUUCGGAAUUACUGGGCGUAAAGCGCACGUAGGCGGAUCAGAAAGUUGGGGGUGAAAUCCCGGGGCUCAACCUCGGAACUGCCUUCAAAACUAUUGGUCUUGAGUUCGAGAGAGGUGAGUGGAAUUCUCGAGUGUACGAGGUGAAAUUCGUAGAUAUUCGGAGGAACACCAGUGGCGAAGGCGGCUCACUGGCUCGAUACUGACGCUGAGGUGCGAAAGCGUGGGGAGCAAACAGGAUUAGA